rnacentral:tRNA from 1 species
UGCCCUGUGGUGUAAUGGUAGCACAGCAGCCUCUGGAGCUGUUUGUCAUGGUUCGAGUCCAUGCGGGGCAG